GCCCUCGUAGCUCAGCUGGACAGAGUGCCUGGCUACGAACCAGGAGGCCGCAGGUUCGAAUCCUGCCGGGGGCA
rnacentral:tRNA from 1 species